GUGGUAGAGGUCAGGAUAGACGUAGUGGAGAUAGAGGUUGUGGUAGAGAUAGAGGUUGUGGUAGAGGUAGAGGUCAGGAUAGACAUAGUAGAGAUAGAGGUUGUGGUAGAGAUAGAGGUUGUGGUAGAGAUAGAGGUUGUGGUAGAGGUAGAGGUUGUGGUAGAGAUAGAGGUUGUGGUAGAGGUAGAGGUUGUGGUAGAGGUAGAGGUCAGGAUAGACAUAGUAGAGAUAGAGGUUGUGGUAGAGAUAGAGGUUGUGGUAGAGAUAGAGGUAGAGGUAGAGGUCAGGAUAGACGUAGUAGAGAUAGAGGUUGUGGUAGAGAUAGAGGUUGUGGUUGAGAUAGAGGUUGUGAUAGAGGUAGAGGUCAGGAUAGACAUAGUAGAGAUAGAGGUUGUGGUAGAGAUAGAGGUUGUGGUAGAGGUCAGGAUAGACGUAGUGGAGAUAGAGGUUGUGGUAGAGAUAGAGGUUGUGGUAGAGGUAGAGGUCAGGAUAGACAUAGUAGAGAUAGAGGUUGUGGUAGAGAUAGAGGUUGUGGUAGAGGUCAGGAUAGACGUAGUGGAGAUAGAGGUUGUGGUAGAGAUAGAGGUUGUGGUAGAGGUAGAGGUCAGGAUAGACAUAGUAGAGAUAGAGGUUGUGGUAGAGAUAGAGGUUGUGGUAGAGAUAGAGG